CUGAUCCUCACUUUCCUUCACAGAGAUCCCUUCAAGAUACUCUGGCUAUGACACGUAGGCAGGUGGUCAGGCUUUAUUAUGGCCGUCAAAACACCUACUUGAUGAUCUUUGUAGACUUUUAAUUAGAAUGUCUCGAUAUCCCCUCGUCACUCCGACUGAGUUGCACGCUUCAACCGGGUCCUGCAAGGAUUCUCAGGAUCUGGAGUAGCUUGCCAAGAGUCUGCUGCUGGUUUAACCUUAGAAUGAUGAAUCCAAGGAGUCACUUCCGCCACCUU
rnacentral:lncRNA from 1 species